CAAAGGUUUGGUCCUAGCCUUACUGUUAAUUUUUAUUAGACCUACACAUGCAAGUCUCCGCAAUCCGGUGAGUACGCCCUUGAAACUCGACCCCGAGUUUUAGGGAGCAGGCAUCAGGCACACUCUCGUAGUAGCCCAUGACACCUCGUCUUAACCACACCCCCAAGGGAUACAGCAGUGACUAACAUUGAGCAAUAAACGAAAGUUUGACUAAAUCAUAAUAAAUAAGGGUUGGUAAAUCUCGUGCCAGCCACCGCGGUCAUACGAUUAACCCGAAUUAACAGAAGAACGGCGUAAAGUGUGUUUAAGCAAAAUAACUCUAUAAUAAGGUUAAAAAACAACUGUGCUGUAAUACGCCCUAGUUGUAAUUAAAAUACGCAACUAACGUGACUUUACCCCCUGCUGAAGACACUAAAGCUAAGGUCCAAACUGGGAUUAGAGACCCCACUAUGCUUAGCCAUAAACCGAGGUAAUUCAAUAACGAAAUUACUCGCCAGAGAACUACGAGCCACCGCUUAAAACUCAAAGGACUUGGCGGUGCCCUAGACCCUCCUAGAGGAGCCUGUUCUAUAAUCGAUAAACCCCGAUACACCUCACCCCUUCUAGCUUGACAGUCUAUAUACCGCCAUCGUCAGCUCACCCCAGCAGGGCCCAAAAGUGAGCAGAAUCAUGAAACCAUAAAAACGUUAGGUCAAGGUGUAGCAUAUGAAGGGGGAAGUAAUGGGCUACAUUUUCUACCCUAGAACAUAACGGAGUGUCUAUUGAAACAAAGAUAUGAAGGAGGAUUUAGCAGUAAAUUAAGAAUAGAGAGCUUAAUUGAAAAUGGCAAUAGGGUGUGCACACACCGCCCGUCACCCUCCUCAACAAAGUAAUCACCCAAUACCUAAUAAAAGUACGCCAGAAAGAGGAGAAAAGUCGUAACAUGGUAAGUGUACCGGAAGGUGCACUUGGAAUAUC
rnacentral:ncRNA from 1 species